rnacentral:misc_RNA from 1 species
CAGAAAUAUACGCAACUGCAGUUGCUCCAAGCAAAGAACCUACUAUGUAUUUUGCUGCCAUCUUCUAACUGCAAUGGACGAUGAAAAUAGAUGUACAGAAUCAAGGAGCCGUCAGAUUGAGCCGAUUUUUGAAGCGAUGAAGCUGAGAGAGAGAGAGAUUGGGGAAAAUGAAGAAGAUGGAAGGGGAAGGAGAGAUCUCAAGCAGGGCGUGCCCUAGAUGUUGUGAGAGAGACGAGAUUGAGUCAAGAAAG